AACGGCUCACCAUGGCAAUGAUACGUAGCCGACCUGAGAGGGUAAUCGGCCACAUUGGGACUGAGACACGGCCCAAACUCCUACGGGAGGCAGCAGUAGGGAAUCUUCCACAAUGGACGAAAGUCUGAUGGAGCAACGCCGCGUGAGUGAAGAAGGGUUUCGGCUCGUAAAACUCUGUUGUUAAAGAAGAACAUAUCUGAGAGUAACUGUUCAGGUAUUGACGGUAUUUAACCAGAAAGCCACGGCUAACUACGUGCCAGCAGCCGCGGUAAUACGUAGGUGGCAAGCGUUGUCCGGAUUUAUUGGGCGUAAAGCGAGCGCAGGCGGUUUUUUAAGUCUGAUGUGAAAGCCUUCGGCUCAACCGAAGAAGUGCAUCGGAAACUGGGAAACUUGAGUGCAGAAGAGGACAGUGGAACUCCAUGUGUAGCGGUGAAAUGCGUAGAUAUAUGGAAGAACACCAGUGGCGAAGGCGGCUGUCUGGUCUGUAACUGACGCUGAGGCUCGAAAGUAUGGGUAGCAAACAGGAUUAGAUACCCUGGUAGUCCAUACCGUAAACGAUGAAUGCUAAGUGUUGGAGGGUUUCCGCCCUUCAGUGCUGCAGCUAACGCAUUAAGCAUUCCGCCUGGGGAGUACGGCCGCAAGGCUGAAACUCAAAGGAAUUGACGGGGGCCCGCACAAGCGGUGGAGCAUGUGGUUUAAUUCGAAGCUACGCGAAGAACCUUACCAGGUCUUGACAUACUAUGCAAAUCUAAGAGAUUAGACGUUCCCUUCGGGGACAUGGAUACAGGUGGUGCAUGGUUGUCGUCAGCUCGUGUCGUGAGAUGUUGGGUUAAGUCCCGCAACGAGCGCAACCCUUAUUAUCAGUUGCCAGCAUUAAGUUGGGCACUCUGGUGAGACUGCCGGUGACAAACCGGAGGAAGGUGGGGAUGACGUCAAAUCAUCAUGCCCCUUAUGACCUGGGCUACACACGUGCUACAAUGGAUGGUACAACGAGUUGCGAACUCGCGAGAGUAAGCUAAUCUCUUAAAGCCAUUCUCAGUUCGGAUUGUAGGCUGCAACUCGCCUACAUGAAGUCGGAAUCGCUAGUAAUCGCGGAUCAGCAUGCCGCGGUGAAUACGUUCCCGGGCCUUGUACACACCGCCCGUCACACCAUGAGAGUUUGUAACACCCAAAGUCGGUGGGGUAACCUUUUAGGAACCAGCCGCCUAAGGUGGGACAGAUGAUUAGGGUGAAGUCGUAACAAGGU
rnacentral:rRNA from 1 species